ACUAGGGAUGCAAUUGGUCCGAGU
rnacentral:miRNA from 1 species